UCGAGGCUCUAGUGCUUCACCCUCACUAGCUACGGCCUACGCGUCCUACUGAACAUAACAAAGUAACCAGACCUAAAGGGUCUAAACCCCCCCAAGCUAGGAAAAAAGCAUCGUCACGAGGCUGUGGGUGGAGAGGUCUAGAUCUCG
rnacentral:pre_miRNA from 1 species